rnacentral:misc_RNA from 1 species
CUGCGCUCUCAAGGACAUCGGCCCAAAAUAGUUUUCCUUUGAUAAAAAUACACAUGCAGCAAAAUUUUAGAACGAUAUCCAGAUCAUAGUCUAUAGUCAUUUGACAGGUUCGAGAAGCUUGGUCAUCAUCGACUGGAAUAUUCUCGAUUAGUGCUUUCUUUCUCUCUCUGAGACUCUACCAUUAAUAUUUAUUUUUCUCCUGCUAUUGCUGUUUGAAUUAAGAGUUGUUUCUUGGCUAGUGUCACUUCAGUCAUCAAAUUAUGUAAACUUUUUAUAGCUGCUAUGGUUGUUUUUAAGAGUUGUAGGAUAGAAUCAUGGUUUCUGAG